rnacentral:misc_RNA from 1 species
UCCGAGUUGACCCCGGCAGUCUCCUAUGAGUCCCCACCAUCACGUGCUGGCAACAUAGAACGAGGGUUGCGCUCGUUGCGGGACUUAACCCAACAUCUCACGACACGAGCUGACGACAACCAUGCACCACCUGUAUACCGACCUUGCGGGGCGACGAUCUCUCGCCGUUUCCGGUAUAUGUCAAGCCUUGGUAAGGUUCUUCGCGUUGCAUCGAAUUAAUCCGCAUGCUCCGCCGCUUGUGCGGGCCCCCGUCAAUUCCUUUGAGUCUUAGCCUUGCGGCCGUACUCCCCAGGCGGGGCGCUUAAUGCGUUAGCUGCGGCACGGAACCCGUGGAAUGGAUCCCACACCUAGUGCCCAACGUUUACGGCAUGGACUAC